GGCCCCCUUCCCAACAAUUCAACCGAUCGGAUUUUUGGCCCUCGUGGCCACCACCGUCCACCUCAGGCCACAAUGCUAGUACCAAAAGAACCACCUCCACCUCCUCUCUCCAUCCCACCCCUCUGCCACCCCAACAGACAACCACCGUCGCCGGAAAAAUGAGAAAACCGAACGGUUUUGACCCAAAGUUUCCGGCGAUUCCGACCAUCAUUUUCGUCGAUCUAGGCAGUAGAUAGUCUUGAAUCGAGCGGCCAUAUCGAGUUGUGAACUCCGAGCCCGAGCUUGUGUAGGCAAACUUUCAUCUAUUUUCAUUUAUGUCAAACUUCGUUUCGUUGUAAAUUGAAUUAUGUUAGAUAUGCUCUUUUAUCGCCCAUGUUAGGGUUGAUUGUAAGACCAGAGGCCUAUUAUGUAAAUUGUCUGUUAUUAUCUUGUGCAUGUUGCCGGAUUAGAUUUUUUAAUGUGUUUGAACAUGUUGAAAA